rnacentral:rRNA from 1 species
CGAGCGGCGGACGGGUGAGUAAUGCCUGGGAAUAUGCCUUAGUGUGGGGGAUAACUAUUGGAAACGAUAGCUAAUACCGCAUAAUGUCUUCGGACCAAAGAGGGGGAUCUUCGGACCUCUCGCGCUAAGAUUAGCCCAGGUGAGAUUAGCUUGUUGGUGAGGUAAGAGCUCACCAAGGCGACGAUCUCUAGCUGGUCUGAGAGGAUGAUCAGCCACACUGGAACUGAGACACGGUCCAGACUCCUACGGGAGGCAGCAGUGGGGAAUAUUGCACAAUGGGCGAAAGCCUGAUGCAGCCAUGCCGCGUGUAUGAAGAAGGCCUUCGGGUUGUAAAGUACUUUCAGUCGUGAGGAAGGGUGUGUAGUUAAUAGCUGCACAUCUUGACGUUAGCGACAGAAGAAGCACCGGCUAACUCCGUGCCAGCAGCCGCGGUAAUACGGAGGGUGCGAGCGUUAAUCGGAAUUACUGGGCGUAAAGCGCAUGCAGGUGGUUCAUUAAGUCAGAUGUGAAAGCCCGGGGCUCAACCUCGGAACCGCAUUUGAAACUGGUGAACUAGAGUGCUGUAGAGGGGGGUAGAAUUUCAGGUGUAGCGGUGAAAUGCGUAGAGAUCUGAAGGAAUACCAGUGGCGAAGGCGGCCCCCUGGACAGACACUGACACUCAGAUGCGAAAGCGUGGGGAGCAAACAGGAUUAGAUACCCUGGUAGUCCACGCCGUAAACGAUGUCUACUUGGAGGUUGUGGCCUUGAGCCGUGGCUUUCGGAGCUAACGCGUUAAGUAGACCGCCUGGGGAGUACGGUCGCAAGAUUAAAACUCAAAUGAAUUGACGGGGGCCCGCACAAGCGGUGGAGCAUGUGGUUUAAUUCGAUGCAACGCGAAGAACCUUACCUACUCUUGACAUCCAGAGAAUUCGCUAGAGAUAGCUUAGUGCCUUCGGGAGCUCUGAGACAGGUGCUGCAUGGCUGUCGUCAGCUCGUGUUGUGAAAUGUUGGGUUAAGUCCCGCAACGAGCGCAACCCUUAUCCUUGUUUGCCAGCACGUAAUGGUGGGAACUCCAGGGAGACUGCCGGUGAUAAACCGGAGGAAGGUGGGGAAGAAGUCAAGUCAUCAUGGCCCUUACGAGUAGGGCUACACACGUGCUACAAUGGCGCAUACAGAGGGCUGCAAGCUAGCGAUAGUGAGCGAAUCCCAAAAAGUGCGUCGUAGUCCGGAUCGGAGUCUGCAACUCGACUCCGUG